UACGUAGGGGGCAAGCGUUGUCCGGAAUCAUUGGGCGUAAAGCGCGUGUAGGCGGUCCGGUAAGUCCGCUGUGAAAGUCGGGGGCUCAACCCUCGAAUGCCGGUGGAUACUGUCGGGCUAGAGUGCGGAAGAGGCGAGUGGAAUUCCGUGGUGUAGCGGUGAAAUGCGCAGAUAUCAGGAGGAACACCUAUUGCGAAGGCAGCUCGCUGGGACGUAACUGACGCUGAGACGCGAAAGCGUGGGGAGCAAACAGG
rnacentral:rRNA from 1 species